rnacentral:tRNA from 1 species
GCCUUCGUAGUGUAGUGGUCAGCACGCUCGACGCGUAUUCGAGAGGUCAGUGGUUCGAGUCUCUUCGAGGGUA